GCUCUGUCUACUACAUACCAUCACUUUUGGGGGUUCGGAUUUCAACAUGAAUGGGGAGGGUCACAAAUAUUCAGGCCAUAGUAUAGAUCCAUAAACAAAUACUCAUAUAAUCUGACAGCAAGAGCCUCCAAAGCAAGAGCAGCAGCUUCAAGUGGGAAGAAACACUCAGUUGUUUGAUUUCAAGCCACCAAGAUUGUUCAAAGGCAGUGCCUGUGUUGAAGAAGCCUAGGAACUCUGAAAUCCAGCCCAGUGAGCUGCGGCCCAGAGAGCCCCUUCACAUCCUUUCCCAAAAGGAAACCAUGGGGUGGGGACAGCCCUGGAAACUGAUUCCCACUCGAUUUUCAAGAGGAGCCACCUUUCUGAGCAGAGAGCCUCCAUGCCAAGCUUUUGUCUGCAAGGAGUUUUUCUGUGAAUUUAUUAGAAGCUGAAGAAAUGCUGACAGAGCAGUUUUGCCCAAGCCAGCAGGCUUCCAAGUGCACCUCAUUAGACCAGCUUCCUGCAGGCAACAGGGAACAACAGGCAGGGGAGGCUGAGGUGGGUGACAGGGGACAGGCAGAGUGUCGGGGCCCACCCCUGGUUGGCAUGGAGGGAGUGCUCACAGAGCACAGCUCCCCAGAGGAGCAGGAAGAACCACAGGGCUCUGCACAACCACCUGCCCACUCAGGUCAUGCCAGACUCUCAGGACAUGGGAGGCUGGCGGGCAGGCGGACAGAGGAACCACAGGACACCAGGUUCCCAGGAACUGGUUCUCUCCCACCUCCCCCGCCCCCAUGCUCCUUGUUCAUUUCAGGACAAGGGAUUGCACUUGGAAGAAAGGACCCUUUCCCCUUGAGACCCCAGCUUUUCUAAAUUCUUCUCGAUUCACAAAGUAAUCCCAUUUUUUCAAUCAUCCAAGUUCCACAUAUUUUAAUGUUUUCUUAAAAAUAAAUAGCAAUCCCUGCGGUCAUGAGGACUCAGUAUGUGGCAGGCAGGCCUGAGCAAAGCCUGUGGCUCCCUGGUCACAGUUACUUGUUCCUGCCAGCCUCAUCAGAACAACCGAACAGCCGUCUGAGGUGUUACAGAGGAGGGACCCCAAGAUGAGAGACGUGAGGGACUCCUGGAGUCACACAGCGAAUGCGGCAGAAGCCAUGGACUUGGGGCUCACGUUCAGUCACUGCUCCACAAGUUCCUACCUUAGAGUAUUUCCACAUUCUCUGUCUUGUUGAUUCUUAUAAAACCUGAUGAAGUAAGCAAGCAAGAGUUACCCCAUUUAACAGAUACGGAAAUGGAGACCCACAAAGGGCCUUGCAGGAAGCUAUGGAGUCAGUGAGAUAAAGCCAGCUAGAGCCUAAGUGUUCCGUGCCUUAGCCUACAUGUCAUUCUACCUCGCCAAGUAAACUUUGCUCUGGAAGCGAUUGUUGAAAAAUAUUAUUGGUAAUGUGAUGCUGUGACUGGAUGGAUCCUGGGGUAGGAGAGACAUCAUUUGGGUAGAGGAAGGGGUGUGAGGAGAGGUCAGGAGGCUGAGAGGUUUGGACUUGGAGAAGGGCAGGGAGCUGCCGGGAGUGGGUGGGAGGCUCCACAGAGAAGAAGGAGAGCUGGGCGCUG